CUACAUGGAAUAAAAAUCCCUAUUAAAUCAAGACAAGGAAUAAAUCAUAUAUUAUCCUUAGAAAUCAAUAGGUUCUGUUAAAAUUAAUUUCUUUUUUAUUUUAAAAAGUGAAUUGGAAUACAACUUUGUGCCUAUAAACGUUUUUUUCCAGAAAAAAAAAGAUGAAAGAUAUUACGUAAACCCAGUCUGGUCCCUUUUUAUGCAGUGAAACAGGGACUCUUUCCCUAUCAUUAGGAUUUCAGAAAAGAGAAUGACAUAGUAUAAUCUGAAACUCUGUGAACCUGGGAAAGGCUGAUAAAUAACAGGAUUCAUAUAUAAUUAUUCCUGAUGAGCCAGACAAGCUAAGACAAAAUUCCCUUGAACAUUACUAAUCAUAAGAGGUAUUUCCAUUGGCAAAUUCUUUAUCUCUUUUUCCAUGUCUGGAAAAAUGUCCAUCUUUCCUUCACUAACAAUCCCCUCCUUGAUAACAAUAGUAGUUAGAGAAUCAUAAACCUUAGAGUUGGAGUGGAUCUUAAAAUUCAUCCAGUUGCAUUGUCUUCCAGUUGCAAGAACGUGUCUCCUCUUGGUGCUGUCAGUGCGCUGCACAGGGAUCAUGGGCUUGGGCAGCCGUGUGGGAUGAAAGCCUUCAGCCAGAGAUCCUCCUAUGGCACCCUUUCCAAUCAUGUUCUCAUUCCCUGGGCUCCAGUUUUAAGACAUAGAAGGCAGUUCGGUGCCGCUGCAGCUUAAGGAAGAUGGGGCCUGGACGAGACUGGAAAGGACCUCAGCUAAAGAAUUUGAACUCUAUUUUAAGACUCUUCUCUGAAUGCAUAAACAUACUGGAGGGAGGAAGAAAAAAACAAGCAACAGAUGAACAGAAAAAUGGAAAAAGAGAGAGGGGGCAGACAGACAAUCAACAGACUCCCCCUGGGAUUUAAAAUGAUAAAUGCACCAUACACAUCCACAUAUUUGCAUAUAGUGAAACUUUAACAUAACCUCAUAAGGCAAAAUCUCCACAAGAAAAUGUGUACUUGAACUGUAAGAUACAAGAGCCUCAUUUUGAGAAUUAUAAAUACAAAUGUCAUUUCAAGGAGUGCCUAAUUAUAUUUAAUUUUAUGGUGUUUUUCUCCCUAUCCCUGAAAAUUCAAAGACAAACUAAACCAAGGUGAGGGAGAGAAAUCAAUAAAAUUUAUAACUGAACUUAUUAGCUACUUUCC
rnacentral:lncRNA from 1 species